rnacentral:snRNA from 2 species
GUGCUUACUUUGGCAGCACAUAUGCUAAAAUUGGAAUGAUCUAGAGAAUAUUAGCAUGUGCAAGGAUAACAUGCAAAUUCAUGAAGUGUUCCAUAUUUUU